rnacentral:rRNA from 1 species
AGGGAAUCUUCGGCAAUGGACGGAAGUCUGACCGAGCAACGCCGCGUGAGUGAAGAAGGUUUUCGGAUCGUAAAGCUCUGUUGUAAGAGAAGAACGAGUGUGAGAGUGGAAAGUUCACACUGUGACGGUAUCUUACCAGAAAGGGACGGCUAACUACGUGCCAGCAGCCGCGGUAAUACGUAGGUCCCGAGCGUUGUCCGGAUUUAUUGGGCGUAAAGCGAGCGCAGGCGGUUAGAUAAGUCUGAAGUUAAAGGCUGUGGCUUAACCAUAGUACGCUUUGGAAACUGUUUAACUUGAGUGCAAGAGGGGAGAGUGGAAUUCCAUGUGUAGCGGUGAAAUGCGUAGAUAUAUGGAGGAACACCGGUGGCGAAAGCGGCUCUCUGGCUUGUAACUGACGCUGAGGCUCGAAAGCGUGGGGAGCAAACAGGAUUAGAUACCCUGGUAGUCCACGCCGUAAACGAUGAGUGCUAGGUGUUAAACCCUUUCCGGGGUUUAGUGCCGUAGCUAACGCAUUAAGCACUCCGCCUGGGGAGUACGACCGCAAGGUUG